AAUAUUAUGAAGAUAAAUAUGUGUAUAAAUGUUAUAUGAUUUUUGAUUUAAGAGAGAGAUAGGAAGUAGAGUUUAGAGAGAGUUUAGAGAAUAGAUUUGCUUCUCUUAUUUCAUCGUUAAUUACAUUCACAAUAGCAUCUAUAUAUACACAUAAUGAUGCCUUAAUGGAAUAGCUAAUAAUGGCUAAUAUUAGGGGGUGGCUAAUGGGAUGAGUGGGUAGGUUUGUGUAAUGGGAUGAGUGGGUAGGUUUGUGUGAUGAAUAAUCACAUAUUUCAUAACAUUCCCCCUUGAGUAUUCAUCACCAUAGAUGUAUGACGUACUGCCUCGUUAAAAACCUUCUCAUGGAAAAACCCAUUGGGAUAAAAACCAUGACAAGGGAAAAAGAGUACAGUAACACAUACUCCCCCUGGAAAAGACUUCAUAGGUCUCGUAGAUGACGCAUUCCAAUACUUUGAACAUGCUUUCUAAAUGUAGAAGUUGGAAGCGCCUUUGUGAAUAGAUCUGCUGCAUUGUCACUUGAACGAAUGUACUGAACGUCGACUUCCUUAUUCUUCUCGAGUUCUUGAGUGUAGGAGAAGAAUCUUGGAGGAAUAUGUUUUGUUUUGUCGCUCUUGAUAUAGCCUUCUUUGAUUUGAGCAACACAUGCAACAUUAUCUUCAUAUAGUCUUGUUGGCUCUCUUUUGAUGACUAAUCCACUUGCUUCUUGAAUAUGGUUAGUCAUAGAUCUAAGCCAUACACAUUCUCUACACGCUUCAUGAAGAGCAAUGAUCUCUGCGUGAUUUGAUGAAGUGGCUACUAACGUUUGCUUUUGAGAACGCCACGAGAUUGCAGUUCCUCCAAUGGUAAAAACAUAUCCAGUUUGUGAUCUAGACUUAUGAGGGUCCGAUAGAUACCCUGCAUCUGCAAAACCAACUAGACCAAACUCGGAGUUUCUAGGAUAAUAUAAUCCCAAAUCAAUUGUACCUUGAAGAUAGCGGAAGAUGUGUUUUAUCCCAUUCCAAUGCCUUCGAGUAGGGGAUGAAUUGUACCUUGCAAGCAAAUUAGUAGCAAAAGCAAUAUCUGGUCUAGUACAAUUUGCAAGAUACAUAAGUCCACCGAUAGCACUCAUAUAAGGUUCUUCGGGACCAAGAAAUUCUUCGUUAUCCUCACAAGGUCGAAAUGGAUCAUUUUCAACGUUUAAAGAUCUAUUGACCAUUGGAGUACUUAAAGGAUUCGCUUUAUCCAUAUUAAAGCGUUUUAAAAUCCUUUUUGUAUAAUUGGAUUGAUGCAUAAAUAUACCUUCUUGAUAGUGCUCAAUUUGGAGCCCGAGACAAAAUUUUGUCUUUCCAAGAUCUUUCAUUUCAAACUCUUCUUUCAUAUGAGUCCGUGCAUCAUCAAUCUCCUUUGGAGUUCCAAUUAUAUUUAGGUCAUCAACAUAUACAGCAAUUAUCACAAAUCCCGAUGGAAAUUUUUUUAAUAAAUAUGCAAGGGCAUAUCGCAUUGUUGGUAUAUCCUUUACUCAAUAAAUAUUCACUUAAACGAUUAUACCACAUGCGUCCGGAUUGCUUUAAUCCGUAAAGUGAUCGCUGUAAUUUGACCGCACAUAUUUCUUUAGAUAUUGAUCUUAAUGCUUCAGGCAUUUUUAAUCCUUCAGGGAUUUUCAUGUAGAUAUCAUUAUCUAAUGAUCCAUAUAGAUAUGCUGUCACAACAUCCAUUAAAUACAUUUCCAGAUUUUUUGGAAGCCGCUAAGCUCAUUAAAAAUCUGAAUGUAAUGGCAUCCAUAACCGGAGAAUAUGUUUCUUCAUAAUCAAUUCCUGGUCUCUGAGAAAAUCUUUGGGCAACAAGUCGGGCUUUGUAUCUUGUUACCUCAUUUUUCUCAUUCCUUUUUCGAACAAAUACCCAUUUGUAUCCAACGGGUUUUACAUGUUCCGCUAUUGUGACAAUAGGUCCAAAAACUUUUCUUUUAUUGAGAGAAUUCAAUUCAGUUUCCAUUGCCAUUUUCCAUUUCUCCCAAUCAGAUCUUUUCUGGCAUUCCAAUAUUGACCUUGGAUCUGGAUCAUCACUUUCAUGAUCAAUUUCUUUAGAUACAGAGAAUGAGAAAAUUCCAUCAUCAUCAUCUAUCUCAUUUCUAACCCAUAUUUUUUUUAUUUUGGGUAUAGUUGAUGGAAAUCUCAUGGUUUUCUUUAUUAUUUUCGUCUUCAGGACUUUUUCCGUCUUCAGGACUUUUCUCUGUAUCCAACUCUUCAGGAAUCUUCUCAUUUACUUCUCCCAAUUUCUUUUUCUUCCGGGGAUUUUUAUCUUUUGAGCCCAUUGGUCUCCCCCUUUUCAACUGAACUUUAGGUUCAUUUAUUUUUCCAUCAGUUUGUUCUUCGGGAACAUCAAUUCUAAAUGGAACAUUCGCAGCGGGUAUAUAAGAUUUUGUCACCCUUCUUGUAUCAGUGAAUGCAUCUGGUAGUUGAUUUGCCAAAUUUUGUAAAUGUACAAUUUUCUGAACUUCCAGUUCACGUUGUUUCGUAGGGGGAUCAAGGUGCAAUAAAGAUGGUGUGCACCAUGUAAUAUCUUUUGGAAUUUCUUUAAUUCCUCCCCCUAAUGCUGGGAAUUCACCCUCAUUAAAAUGGCAAUCAGCAAUACGUGCCGUAAACAUAUCACCAGUUUGCGGUUCAAGAUACCGAAUUAUACUUGGUGAUGUAAACCCGACAUAUAUUCCCAAUCUCCUUUGUGGUCCCAUUUUUGUUCUUUGUGGUGGAGCUAUAUGUACAUAAACCGCACAUCCAAAAACGCGGAGAUGGGAUAUAUCUGGCUUCUGGCCAGAACCUAAUUGUAAUGGGGAGUAUUUAUGAUAUGCACUUGGCCGUAUUUGAAUUAGUGCAACAGCAUGCAAGAUUGCAUGACCCCAUACUGAAAUUGAGAGCCUUGUUCUCAUUAUUAACGGUCUAGCAAUAAGUUGUAGCCGUUUAAUUAAGGACUCAGCCAUGCCAUUUUGUGUAUGAACAUGAGGGACCGGAUGUUCAACAUCAAUUUCUAAUGACAUGCAAUAAUCAUUGAAAACUUGUGAAGUAAACUCACCAGCAUUAUCAAGUCUUACUUUCUUUAUUGUAUAAUCAGGGAAUUGUGCUCUCAACCUGAUUAUUUGGGUAAUGAAUUUCGCGAAAGCCGAAUUUCGUGUGCUUAAUAAACACACAUGUGACCAUCUGCUGGAUGCGUCAAUUAAUACCAUAAAAUAUCGAAAUGGCCCGCACUGUGGGUGAAUAGGCCCACAUAUAUCACCAUGUAUUCUUUCUACGAAUGCUGGAGAUUCAUUCCCAAUUUUCGCUGGUGAUGGCCGAGUUAUUAACUUUCCUUGAGAACAAGCAUUACAUGAAAAUUCUUUUGAUUGAAAAAUCUUCUGGUUUUUCAAUGGAUGGCCAUUUGAAUUUUCCACAAUUUUACGCAUCAUGACUGAACCUGGAUGCCCUAAACGUUCAUGCCAGAUUUUGAACGUAUUUGUAAACUUCGGGUUUACAGUAAUAUAUGAUUCAAUCAUAUUUAUUUUUGUGGAAUACAUUCCGGAGGAUAAAGCUGGUAGCUUUUCUAAUAUGCAUUUCCUCUUCGAAAUAACUUUUGUGAUGCAAAGAUAUUCAAUGCCAUUUUCAUUCAUAGUUUCUAUGUGAUAUCCAUUUCUGCGGAUAUCACUGAAACUUAACAAAUUUCUAAAUGAUUUAGGGGAAUAUAAUGCAUUAUUUAUUUCAAUUUUUGUUCCCCUCGGCAUUGAAAAACUGGCUCUUCCGAAGCCCAUAAUAAUCUUUGCAUUACCAGAUAUAGUAUUAACGCUUCCGGCGGAAUUUUAUAUUUUUAGGGAGGAGAAAUACUUUUUAUCUUUAAGGAUUGUGUGCGUUGUAGCACUGUCUGCCAGACAUAUAUCUCCAUCCUUCAUCUCAAAUUUGGACAUUUUCUGAAUUUAUAAAUAUUCAUAAAAAAUAUGUUAAUAUAUCAUAACAAACGAUUUAUAUUACAAUAAAACUAUUUUACAACAGAGAUAAAAUACAAAACACACAAAAACAAACAUUAAGCUUUUAUAGGAAGAUAAACAUAACUAUCAUGUCACACAAACUUCUUCGGGAAGCUUUAUUCAUUUUGUUUAUCGUUGAUGGCUUCAGGAUCAACUAUAAAAUCGGCAAUGUCGAGAAAUGUAUCAUCGUUUAAACCAUCGAAAGAAGGCCCUGGUUCACCAUAAACGAAGUUGGUUUCUUUUUCUUUUUGUGAUUUUUGGUACAAAUCGGCCAAAUGUUUUGGCGUACGACAGGUACGGGACCAAUGUCCUUUCAUGCCGCAUUUGUAACAAGCAUUUUCAUGUUGCUUAAUCGCGCGACCAUCUUCGUUCCUUUUGAAUUUUUUAUUUUUGUUUUUAGUGGAAUCAUUAGGACCGAAUUUUCUUCCGUGUCCACGUCCACGUCCUUGUCCACGUCCAUAUCCACCUCGUCCACGACCACGAUCAUUAUUUUGCGUUUACGUCCGUAAUUGUUAUAAUUAGAUGUUGCAACAUUCACUUCCGGGAAUGGAGCUGAUCCAGUCGGGCUGGAUUGAUGGUUUAACAUCACAAUUUCAUUAUUUUGUUCUGCAACCAACAAAACUUGCAUUAGUUCAGAAUACUUCGUGUAUCCUUUUGCUCGGUAUUGUUGUUGCAGAAGUACAUGUCCAUGAUGAAAUGUUUGGAGAGUUUUUUUCAAUCAUAUCAUAGUCACUUAUAUUUUCUCCACAUAACAUUAUCCUGGAAGUAAUUCCGAACAAAGCGGAAUUAUAUUCGGCAACACUUUUGAAAUCCUGAAACCGGAGGUUCAGCCACUCAUGUUUUGCUUUUGGUAAGAUCACAUAUUUUUGGUGAUCAAACCUAUCUUCGAGUGCUUGCCAAAGAUCUGCAGGAUCUUCCUUUGUGAUGUAUUCAUCUUUUAAACCAUCAUGGAUAUGGUGGGUUAAAAAUAUCAUGGCAUUUGACUUAUCCUCUUCAGGGGAUGAUUUUGAUUUAUCGAUGGUGUCAAGGAGCCUUUUUCCUUUUAAAUGCCUAUUUGCUGCAACGGCCCAUCUCAUAUAAUUAUUCACAGAGAUAUCAAGGGCAGUGAUCUCGAGUUUUGCCAAAUUUGACAUGAUAACUCUAAACAUAUAAAAUAAUUUAUUAAACAUAAAUUUACUCGUUUUUCAAUUGUAAUUUAAAUGGCAUGAUAAUGUUAUUUAAUUAAAUUGAACCAUUUUAAAUAUGCAAACGAUUACAAAUGUCAUUAUUAAAAGUUUCAUUUAAUUAAUUUAAAACAUAGAAGGUACUUUCAUAAGUGAAGCGAUUACAAGAAACACAAUUACAUAGAAAAUUAAAAUAGAAACCAUUAAAAACUCUUCGGGAGAAAAUUCUCCAAAAAUUAAACCAUAAAUAGCAACAAAAAUAAAACCUAUUACAAAAACUAAGAAUGAAUUAACCAUUUUUUUCUUAGAUUUUAGAGAGAGAUAUGAUGAAUGAGUGAAAUGAAAUGAAUGAAAUAUGAUUGUAUUUAUAGAUUGAAAUUUAUUGUUCAUAACCGUUAUAAAUACUGUUCCUAGCCGUUUGAAAAGUGUAAAAUUUUGAAAAAUUUCUUCAUGACCGUUGGUGAAAAUAUUAACCCGAAAAUCAAUCGUAAAUAUAUAUAAUCAGAUAGUUAAAAAUUUAACAAUUUAGAUAUCAUAAUGGAAUUUAUAAACAUGAAAUUAAAAUAUAAUUACGAAAUUAAAAGAACAAUAAUUAUAAUUUGUCUUCUGGACAAAAUUUAUUAUAUAGUUCUUCUGGAACGUUUUCAUAUGUCUUCUGGACAUUUUUGUUUCAUAUAUUUUAUUUUGUAUAGUUCUUCAGGAACUUUCAAUAAAUAUCUUCAGGAUAUGUAAUUAUAAAAUAAUGAUCUGAGGAGGCAGAGCCUACCAUAUGAUCAUGAUCCGUUUCAGGAGGCAUAGCCUUCCAUAGGAUCAAGAAGGAGGUAUAACCUUCCAUUUCUUAAAUAUUAUAAAUAAACAAAUUUUAAAUAAAUUUAAACAUAAUUUAAAAUAUUACCUUCACUAUACCUUAAAUAUUUAAUCGGACGGAUGCUCGGUUGAUUCUGGACACGAGAGCUUACUCGUGCUGAUAACUUGUUGAAUAACUAAAUAUUAUGAAGAUAAAUAUGUGUAUAAAUGUUAUAUGAUUUUUGAUUUAAGAGAGAGAUAGGAAGUAGAGUUUAGAGAGAGUUUAGAGAAUAGAUUUGCUUCUCUUAUUUCAUCUUUAAUUACAUUCACAAUAGCAUCUAUAUAUACACAUAAUGAUGCCUUAAUGGAAUAGCUAAUAGUGGCUAAUAUUAGGGGGUGGCUAAUAAGGAUGAGCGGGUAGGUUUGUGUAAUGGGAUGAGUGGGUAGGUUUGUGUGAUGAAUAAUCACAUAUUUCAUAACAAUCCGAGAAUUUGCAAAUGACAAACGGACUGAUAUUAUUAGUAGGCUUGUGACAACUGAACUUUGGUUGUUAUUCUUUUGGUAAAUUAGAGUAGUGUAGGCACCAUUGAAAUUCCAUUAGUCAAAAACUAACGAUGUUGUGAAUUGUGAAUAUAUUACAGUAUAAGGAUUUUCACAAUCUCUCUCUCUUGUUUCAAGUGGAGUGUGCUUUUAUUUUUUGUUUAUGUGAUUUCAUUUGUUGUAACGAAAAGACAAUAAGUCAAUACUAUGUUUUUCUUCCAUAAGACUAGAAAUAUUUUAAAAAACCCAUAUAAUAUGAUUUACUAGAUCAUCACCCGUACUACAGUACGGGUUAAAUUUCAUUUAUCACAAAAUUUAUAAAUUUUAUGUUUUAGAAUAAAGGUAUGAUAUAUUAUAAUAAGUGAAAAAAUAAUAUUUUUU
rnacentral:lncRNA from 1 species